rnacentral:tRNA from 1 species
GCCGCGGUAGCUCAGUUGGUAGAGCAACGCACUGAAAAUGCGUGGGUCGCCGGUUCGAGUCCGGCCUGCGGCA